AAUUAAACAAACCAAAUGGCAUCACUGGUGGUUCUUUUUUUCACUCCGCUAAACUGUCAUCUCAAACAAAAACAAAUGGAUCAUACAACUGCUAUGAAUACAUUCGACUCGUUUGCUUCCAUCAAUCGGUAAGUGAGAAAGAUGAUUUCUCCCAUCAGUGCGGAUUUCCACUUCUAUCACAGCAGCCAACAACAUCCGUUUUCCUGCAGCAGUAACCUUCAACCCCUGUUGGCAAUGCCGGGGGACAGCAUCAACAGCAGCAGCAGCAGCAGAAUUUGACCAUGGUAUGGUAUUGCGAAGAACUUUCCCCAUUAGAGGUUCCGUGCUUCGCGCACAUUCAAAAUCCUCUUCAGACACGAAAACUCAACGACAAGGAGGUAUUUAUCAACUUGCUCAGCUGAAUUACCACCCGGAGGAACCCGAAUGCACUGAUUCCGUUGUAUAGUAGAAUGAAAAUAGGCGAGGUAAGCGAACGUAAUCGCAUGAUAUUUUAAUAGUUCGCAUUUUUAUCCGGAUCAUACAACUGCUAUGAAUACAUCCGACUCAAUCAAUCGGCGAGUGAGAAAGAUGAUUUCCCUCAUCACCACAUUGCUUAUUUCCACUUCUGUCACGCCAGCCAACAGCAUCAGCUUUCCCGCAGCAGUAUCCUUUAAGUCCAGGGUGCUAUUCCGGGCAACAGCAUCAUCAGUAACAGCAGCAGGACCUGGCCAUCGAUAGUAUUUCGAGCUAUUUUCCCCAUCGGAGAUCCCGUGCUUCACGCACAUUGAAGAAACCUCCUCAGCCACAUAUGUGUGUCAAGGAGAAAAAGGAGCUGGAUUCGAAUCGUCAAUCCAGACAACCCGAAUGCACCGAUUGCAUUAUAUAUCUUGUUUAUAUUUUAUAUGCAUUUUGUGUUUUUUUGAAUAAAAUGAUUAAAAUCGA